GCCAGUGAGGAAACGGUUUUGCUUACUGCGACUCUGCGUCUCCAUUGGCCAUGGUUUAACGUGGAGUUUGGACACGCUGCACGAGAACACUACACUCAUGAUAAGGCGUAAUGACUGAGUGAACAAGGGAGGGAUUUCAGCCACUGAAAAACAAACUGCAGCUACACUGAAUGCCUGAUUUGAACAUUUUACCAGGAAAGGGCUAACAUGCCUGGGGCAGUAACCUUCACGGACCGGCCGCUAGCCCAGAUGGAACUGCUUCUGUUGUGGUUCCUUUUCAGAGGAGUUGUGUUAGAGGACUCAUUCAGACAUAUAGGUUUUAUGCAAUUGAAAGUCUUUGGGGAGUGUCCCAGCAGCUUAUGUAUCAUUUGAACGUCCCUGACCGGUUGAUCAGCAGUUUAAGCUAAUGAACUUGAGUUUACUGACCAGACAGAUGCGGCUGAUUAAUUCAGAGCCGGACGGGCGGCUCUGGCCCUUUCCAUUUCUCUCCGGCGAGAGGGGAGGACGGCUGGACAUCUCAUCCCAUCCCACUGAUUCAUCUCAC